CCUACGGGGGGCAGCAGUGGGGAAUAUUGGACAAUGGGGGCAACCCUGAUCCAGCCAUGCCGCGUGUGUGAAGAAGGCCCUCGGGUUGUAAAGCACUUUCAGUGAGGAAGAACGCCUGGUGGUUAAUACCCAUCAGGAAAGACAUCACUCACAGAAGAAGCACCGGCUAACUCCGUGCCAGCAGCCGCGGUAAUACGGAGGGUGCGAGCGUUAAUCGGAAUUACUGGGCGUAAAGCGCGCGUAGGUGGCUUGAUAAGCCGGUUGUGAAAGCCCCGGGCUCAACCUGGGAACGGCAUCCGGAACUGUCAAGCUAGAGUGCAGGAGAGGAAGGUAGAAUUCCCGGUGUAGCGGUGAAAUGCGUAGAGAUCGGGAGGAAUACCAGUGGCGAAGGCGGCCUUCUGGACUGACACUGACACUGAGGUGCGAAACCGUGGGUAGCAAACAGGAUUAGAUACCCGAGUAGUC
rnacentral:rRNA from 1 species